GUUAAUUUCUGCUGUACAGUGAAGGGAUUCAGCCAUUCUCAUCCAUUCCCACAGAGGUUAUCACAGACCACUGAGUAGAUUUCCCUAUGCUAUACAGCACAGCCCUGUUGACCAUCAUUCCAUUAAAAACAGUGCUACUUGAGACUUUCAAAUUUAUCUGUAUGGUCCCUUUAAGACCUUUAUGAGUCAACGAUUCUAUGAUUCUAGAUAUGGCUAAGAUCCUUCCAGCCCUGAACAUCAUCAGAGGAAGGUAAAUAAUUCGAAGGAGUGCUGGUAGAAGAUGGCAAAGAAGAGUACCUUUUCACCACAUUACAGAAGACUUCUUGGAGUUGCUGUCUUGGCUCAGCAGUUAAUGAACCCAACUAGAAUCCACGAGGAUGCGGGUUCUAUCCCUGGCCUCAUUCAGUGGGUUAAGGAUCCAGCGUUGCCCUGAGCUGGGAUGUAGGUCACAGAUACAACUCGGAUUGUGCAUUGCUGUGGCUGUGGUGUAGGCCAGUGGCCACAGCUCUAAUCAGACCCCUAGCCUGGGAACCUCCAUAUGCCAUGGGUGCGGCCCUAAAAGAGACAAAAAAAAAAAAAAAAAAAAAAAAAAAAAAAAAGAAGAAGAAGACUUUUUUUUUGUUUACCAAUUGGGCCUGACCUCAAUUUCUAUUCCUCUCCGGUCUACCUCAGAGAUAUUCAGGACACGACAAAAGGCAGACAAUUUAUUUUACCAAGAUGAUGGCAGGUGUGUUUGUGACCUCAUCAACCUUGCCUUCUGCCAGUUCCUAUGGCUCCAGUUCCAAACAGCUGCUUCCUCCCCAACUUGAUGUGCUGGAAGUUCAGGAACCAUCUAUCCCCCAUCAUCAUCAUUAUCAGCACUGUCACUGGCAUGGUCCAUCGUAGCCCCAGAUACUAUGAUGUUUUAUAAACACAGCAAUAUCAAAGAGCAAUAUCAGAGUUCUGCUGUCACACUGGACUUUGUCACUGCCCAGAGCCCUUGGCCAGUGUUUUCACUGAUCAUGACUAAUUGUUGGCAAAGCUGCAAGGAGAAGUCAUUCUCAUAUCCUGCUGGGGGAAGUGUAAAUUGAGAACACCUUUUGGAAGACAAUUUGACAGUCCAAUUAAGAACCCAGAAAUGUAUAUAAAUUAUAUAUUAUAAGUUCACCAUUAAGACUAUCUUGUGAGAAAGUAAUUCAUCAGAUGUUUGUUUAUAAAAUUUGGGGGGGGGAUCCUCAAUAUCCAAUCAGAGGCUUAAUUAGAUCAAGUACAGCUACCCAUAAAAUGGAAUACAAUUGGACCAUCAGAAAUAUAUGAUAAAAUGAGAAAG
rnacentral:lncRNA from 9 species